GGCCAUACCAUGCUGAAAGCACAGGUUCUCUUCUGAUCACAGCAAUUAAGCAGCAUCGGGCAUGAUCAGUACUUGGAAGGGUGACCACCUGAGAAUAACUCAUGC